rnacentral:lncRNA from 10 species
CUUUGGGCCUCAGACUGCCAGUUUUUAAAUGAGCAAGUAGGAUUAAAUGACCUCUGCCCUCGAUGCUUGCUCUAAGAUUCUGUGAUUCAGAGUUAUCCCCUUAAUAGACGAGGACCUCUCAGACCCUAAAUGGAAGAAGUUAGUGUGGCACUGAGUACACACACCAGGAAGUCUUGGACGAUGGAGAGUGUUGGUGCUGCUCUUGAAGCUGUGCAGGAACCACCUUCAUUUUUCCCUCUGCCAGUUCUGUCAUGCUGCUGUCUCUUUGGUUAAUAUGCACGGUGCUGUUUUUUGUUUUUGUUUUUUGUUUCUCUCUCCAAUUAAACUGUAAGCUUCU